ACACACGUCCCUUUUUGAUGGUGGCAGAGAGAUGGGAAUGAUUGAGAUAGGGUGGACCUCACACUUGCCCCUUUAACGAAGCGGUUCUGCAGCUUUUGCCAAGUCAUUGGGUUCUUUUCCGAUUAUUAUUAAUUUUUUUUGGCCCAUGUCCCCGCCCCUCUAUGCUCUGAUUGGCCUCUGGGGAAGGAACAGCCUCCUCAUUGGUCUCCACCUCCGAAAUCUCUUCCCCAAGUAGGCCUGAGUCAGUGAAAAGCUUCUGGGGGGCGGGACAGAAUGGGGGUAUCGUCCUGAGGACGGGGUUGCUGGCCAGUUGCACGUUGGCCCGGCCCGUCCCCUAGUUUCUGACCACAAGUCUAACUUCUACCCUCAGGUGAAGACUGUGCUAUAAAUCUUUCGUUGGGAAGCUGCUGCUUGACAGGCUUUGUCUCUCUGUGACUGGGGCAAGACAUCUUCUACCAGAAGUUUCCUCUGAUUAGGAAGGCCCUCCAGGAGGAGGAGUGGAUUAGACCUCUCCAAGAGAAAGCUGAGGCCAGCGGAGGUGGGCAGUCCUCACUCCUCCAAAAGUUCCCAGGAGUCCUCAUUUCAAAGGAAGAGUCUGUGUGCCCUGGGGCUGAUUUCCACCUUCAGUUCUCACUCCUGCAGCCUCUCCUGCUCUUCCUGAGAGAAACAUCGCCUCCUGCAAGAGGAACCUGUGCCUCCCACAUCCUCACCUGGCUGAGCCGCAGUAGUUCUUCAGUGGCAAGCUUUAUGUCCUGACCCAGCUAAAGCUGCCAGUUGAAGAACUGUUGCCCUCUGCCCCUGGCUUCGAGGAGGAGGAGGAAGAAGAGGAGAAGGAGCUGCUUUCCCCCUCUGGAAGUGUCUUCAUCCAGCCUUGGGUACAUGGCUCUGCCAUCCUCACCCUUCAUGGAGCAGAAAUGAGGAAGAACAGCCUGAAAACACAGAGGCAGACAGAAGACCAGUGAAGGACCAGGCCUGGAGAGCACAGGGCCCUGUCUGGACAUCCUGCAGAGGGGGGCCCGUAGAGGCCAGGAGUGCCCCCAGGAGGAGGGAGGACAAGCCACCGUCCAUCGAAGACAAGCUUCCAGCCGACUACUUCAUUCUCCAUUCCUCUCCAGUCUUUCUGCCUCCCUCAGAGACGUGGGACCAUGUUGAAGUGUCCUUGACUUCAUCCUCCUGCUCCCACCUCUCCUCACCAUGUAAUUUGUCUAUAAGCACCGUAGAGGAGCAAGAGCCAGCUGUGAAAGGACAUAUGCAGAAAAUUCAUAAAAGAAAUUCCGAUAGAUAAAACCAUGGAAAAAGGUGUGCUUCGUUAGUAAUUAAAGAAAGGCAGCUAUAGCUGGAAGCAUUUUUUCCUGUAGCCAACUAUAAGAGGAAAAACAAGACCCAGUUAUUGACAAAGAAGUACUAAAAUGACACUCUCAUAUGUUGCACAUGGGUAUACAAGUGGGUAGUCUUACUGAUGUCAGUUGGGUAAUGUGUGCCAAACAUCCUAAAAGUUUCAUGGCCUUUGAUCUAGUAAUUCUAUAUUUGGGAAUGUAUCCUAAGAAUAUAAUUAAAGAUUAGUAAUAAGAUGUUCAUCCCAGCAAUGCAGUAGGAAAAAUUGAGAACCAACUAUCCGGUUGGGAAUUCAUUUCUUUUUCUACUGUGAUGAAAAUUUGCAAGAGGGGGUUGCUUGAGUAAAUUGUUAUGGAUCCACCCAGAUGGUGGAACACUGCGCAGCCAUUAAAAGUCAUGUAGGAGAGGAUUUGACUGGAAAGAAAAAUGCUCUCUGAAUAUUAAAAAGGUUAUAAAAUGAUAUGUAUUAUGUGAUCUCAAUUUUGCUUUUUUAAAUAUGGGUGUAUACUUAUAAGACAGUUUUAAAAAGACUGCAGACAUACUCCAAAUUGUUAAUAAUAGUGGUUAUCUUUGGAUGAUGGAAUAAAGUUGUAAUUUUCCAUUUGGUUUUCUGUAGU
rnacentral:lncRNA from 1 species